UACGUAGGGCGCAAGCGUUAUCCGGAAUUAUUGGGCGUAAAGAGCUUGUAGGCGGUUUGUCGCGUCUGCCGUGAAAGUCCGGGGCUCAACUCCGGAUCUGCGGUGGGUACGGGCAGACUAGAGUGAUGUAGGGGAGACUGGAAUUCCUGGUGUAGCGGUGAAAUGCGCAGAUAUCAGGAGGAACACCGGUGGCGAAGGCGGGUCUCUGGGCCGUAACUGACGCUGAGGAGCGAAAGCGUGGGGAGCGAACAGG
rnacentral:rRNA from 1 species